UGCUUGACUAGCUGAGAGGAGGUGCAUGGCCGUCGUCAGUUCGUACUGUGAAGCAUCCUGUUAAGUCAGGCAACGAGCGAGACCCACGCCAACAGUUGCCAGCAUGUCCUCCGGGGAUGAUGGGGACACUGUUGGGACCGCCUCUGCUAAAGAGGAGGAAGGAAUGGGCAACGGUAGGUCAGCAUGCCCCGAAUUAUCCGGGCUACACGCGGGCUACAAUGGUCAGGACAAUGGGUAUCGACACCGAGAGGUGGAGGCAAUCUCCUAAACCUGUCCUUAGUUCGGAUUGUGGGCUGCAACUCGCCCACAUGAAGCUGGAAUCCGUAGUAAUCGCGUUUCAAAAUAGCGCGGUGAAUAUGUCCCUGCUCCUU
rnacentral:rRNA from 1 species